rnacentral:lncRNA from 1 species
ACCAUUUCCUCACCUGCGAAAACCCUAAUUACCUAACCGGCGAAAACCCCAAUCAUCUAACCUGCGGCUACAAACCCUAAUCGGAGUGUAAUAGGAGGAGGUUGUUGUUCUACCUUUUCACUUGAGCUUGAACCGAGACAUAAAUAGAUUUUACGCGAACGCAACCGACCUUACCAGUCAAAAUGAUAUUGGUGGUGAACAAGUUACUUCUGUGCUUGAAGAGAUGGCGAAUCUUUAUGCUUCUUUGUUCUUUACUUCAUCUUAAUAGCUAAAAGAUUGACGUUGAUGUUGUUGCAUUUUGUUUCAGGAUGAUCCGAAAGGGGUUGCUCUCGAGUUUGAUAAUUUAUGCAGCUAGCUGAAACCGUGUAGAUAUUAUCCCAAAGUGUAUUAGCACUAUUGGUUUUAUGUUUUUAAAGCUUCAUUUUGGUAAUAUCACGUUAUGUUUUGUUAGGCGGUUUUCUACGGAUCGGGUUGCAAGGCUUGAAGAGGUCGGUUUGGGUUGCAAGGCUUGAAGAGGUCGGUUU